rnacentral:rRNA from 1 species
GCGAAUCUUAAGGUGCUUGCACCUUUUGGUUAGCGGCGGACGGGUGAGUAACACGUGGGCAACCUGCCUGUAAGACUGGGAUAACUUCGGGAAACCGGAGCUAAUACCGGAUAAUCCUUUUCCUCUCAUGAGGAAAAGCUGAAAGUCGGUUUCGGCUGACACUUACAGAUGGGCCCGCGGCGCAUUAGCUAGUUGGUGAGGUAACGGCUCACCAAGGCGACGAUGCGUAGCCGACCUGAGAGGGUGAUCGGCCACACUGGGACUGAGACACGGCCCAGACUCCUACGGGAGGCAGCAGUAGGGAAUCUUCCGCAAUGGACGAAAGUCUGACGGAGCAACGCCGCGUGAGCGAUGAAGGCCUUCGGGUCGUAAAGCUCUGUUGUUAGGGAAGAACAAGUACCGGAGUAACUGCCGGUACCUUGACGGUACCUAACCAGAAAGCCACGGCUAACUACGUGCCAGCAGCCGCGGUAAUACGUAGGUGGCAAGCGUUG